CAUCCUCUUACUGUCGUCCCUCGGGAGGUGCUAUCCUGGGUUUUGACGUCAGGCUUUAGGGGUAGCCAACAUGUUUGGCUUUGAUAAGCAGUUUUUCUUCCCAAAAGCUGCACUUAACGAAGUCACUGGGUGUACAGAGAACGUGCGUGCCGUGACCUGACUCUGACUCUCAUCAGCAGCUUUGACACCCUCGACGCUGAGAAAGAAACAACAACUGGCCGUGAUGUCACGAUUGGAGGAGUGUGUUGUUUUUGCUCAGCUCAUCCCCUGGAGAGGCUACAGUGUCAGAGGUUUAUACAGGC